rnacentral:rRNA from 1 species
GCCUGCUAGAUCGUCGUAACCGCUAUACCUUGUAUUGUGCUAUGAACGACUGGCUUUUACUGUGAACAAAAUAGAGUGCUCAGAACAGGCUUUCGCCUGAAUAAUAAAGCAUGGAAUAAUAAAAUAAGACUUUCUUCAUUUUAUUGGUUUGAUGUAGAAAGUAAUGAUUAACAGAAACAGUUGGGGCCAUAUGUAUUUGAUAGUCAGAGGUGAAAUUCUAUGAUUUAUCAAAGACAAACUAAAGCGAAAGCAUUUGGCAAGAAUGUUUUCAUUAAUCAAGAACUAAAGUUGGGGGAUCCAAGACGAUUAGACGCCGUCGUAGUCCCAACCAUAAACUAUACCGACUAGGGAUUGGAGAGCUAUUGGGCUUUUCAGCACCUAAUGAGAAAUCAAAGUCUUUGGGUUCUGGGGAGAGUAUGGUCGCAAGGCUGAAACUUAAAGGAAUUGACGGAAGGGCACACCAGGAGUGGAGUCUGCGGCUUAAUUUGAUUCAACACGGGAAAACUUACCAGGGCAACAUGUUGGAAGGAUUGACAGCUUGAGAGCGCUUUCUUGAUUCGACAAUACGUAGUGCAUGGCCGCUCUUAGUUGGUGGAGUGAUUUGUCAGGUUAAUUCCCUUAACGAACGAGACCUCAGCCUACUAACUAGAGGCAUCUAUUAUUUUAGGUGUAUUCUUCUUAGAGGGACUACUGUGAGACAAUCCAGUGGAAGUUUGAGGCAAUAGCAGGUCCGUAAUGCUCGUAGAUGUCCUGGGCCGCACGCGUACUACAAUGAUACAUUCAAUAAGUUUCUAUACCGAAAGGUUAUGGG